AGCAGGAUUUCUUAGUGGAUGAGCAGGGCCUGGAUGCAGCUCUGGUGGUGACUGCGGUUCAGAUGGUGCCGGCGGAGGGGUAGAGAUGUCUUGUCUGUCCUGACCACCCUGGCGCUGGCCUCUUGCAAGGACAGCAGGAGCCUGGAGAAGGGGAACGCCUGGACGAGAGCGGGGCAGAGAAGAUGACGUCUCUCCUCCUUGAAAGUGCUCUGAGGCUGCACUCCUGCUCUGCGACACGUGUGCUGCAUCGCUUUGCCUCCUUCGGUGCAGCAAAUGGGUGUGGUUUGUUCGUUGAGAUGGCAUGGAGCGUGCCGAUCCCGUGGGUAACUGCAGGAGGAGCAGGAACCAGCCCUGGGCUUGCUGGCAUCU